UAGGCCUACGGGGGGCAGCAGUGGGGAAUAUUGCACAAUGGGGGAAACCCUGAUGCAGCGACGCCGCGUGAGUGAAGAAGUAUUUCGGUAUGUAAAGCUCUAUCAGCAGGGAAGAAAAUGACGGUACCUGACUAAGAAGCCCCGGCUAACUACGUGCCAGCAGCCGCGGUAAUACGUAGGGGGCAAGCGUUAUCCGGAUUUACUGGGUGUAAAGGGAGCGUAGACGGCAGCGCAAGUCUGAAGUGAAAUCCCAUGGCU
rnacentral:rRNA from 1 species